AGGCACGGGAAGGGUGGCAGCUGCACCUGUGUUGCAGCGUCCUGUACGGCCACCACGUGGACAGCGACCACGACGGGUGGACACCCUCACAACCAUGUCGUCGCAGUGCGCCCGCAGCCUCGAACAGGGCGACGAGAGGCUCCAGGUGCUGCGGAGGACCGAACAAUCCACCACCCGCCUCGCUGUCGCGGCAUAGAAG
rnacentral:lncRNA from 1 species